AACGAACGCUGGCGGCGUGCCUAACACAUGCAAGUCGAACGAGACCUUCGGGUCUAGUGGCGCACGGGUGCGUAACGCGUGGGAAUCUGCCCUUGGGUUCGGAAUAACUCGCCGAAAGGCGUGCUAAUACCGGAUGAUGUCGUAAGACCAAAGAUUUAUCGCCCAGGGAUGAGCCCGCGUAAGAUUAGGUAGUUGGUGAGGUAACGGCCCACCUAGUCUUCGAUGGAUAGGGGUUCUGAGAGGAAGGUCCCCCACAUUGGAACUGAGACACGGUCCAA
rnacentral:rRNA from 1 species